CCAUUCAUAAAGAAACUCAAGUUUUCUUACACUUGUACCAACUUGUGUUUAAAUCAGUGGGAAUUUUGCUUUGGAAGGGGUAUGGUGGGAAUGGGGGUAGUCCAGGCUUAAAAUAUUUUAGCAGGGCAGUAGCUGCAGCUUUUCUUUUACUCUAUGCUGUCUGUGAUAUGGAGAGCUUUAAAAUAUACUGUGAUUACUGGCAAUUUAUUGGCAAUUUCUAGACAGACAUCAUAUGAAAUAAUUUUUUAAGCCCCAGGGCAAAGGAAUACCUUACUGAAUUGGCUGCUGCAGGCCAAAUUCCACCAUUUUUAACCUCUGUGGAAUGUUUUUUAUUCAAUAUAGCUUCUGAAAAUUCAGGUUAGAAGACAGUUUUCUGAGCAAGUGUUUUUAAAAGUAAUUGCCUUUUGUGACUGAGCUGUCAGUAACCUAAUUUGAAGAGAAACAGAACCAACAUGGUGGCACAGAAAGGUUUGUGAGUUCAGGUUUUGAAGGUACUUAGGAGCAAGAAACAAAAUGAUACAGUGAAGGAAAUUAUUUGCAGCUUUCAAGCCCCUGGACAGCUGAGUAAAUGCAAGAAACACGAAGGAUGACCAAUCUCAGAAGCAUUUUUCAGCUACUGAAACCGGAUGGUCUGCCAGUCAGCGUUUUCCAACACCAAACAGACACAUCCCACCUGGAGCGGUAGAUGGCAGCCAUGUUCCACGUGAAAACAAAGCCUUCGGUUCUCAAGGGUUUCCCUACUACACUGAGAUAAUUCUUUGCUUAACCCAGCAUCACUUCAAUGGAUUAGAAAAAAAAAAAGUUGCUUAGUGUGUGACUUUUAGGCUAUAUUUAUGCUGCAGUCACUUCUCUGAGCACAGCUCACAAUCAUACCCCUCAUUAGCAUUAGAAUAGGUGGUUGAGUUGCUUACAGCUCUAUCUCCACAUCCUGUUCUGUUACAAACAGAUGUCCUUCAUUCCCUCAGCUUGCUGUCUGAAAGCUAGCUUAGCUUCGAGCGGGGCUGGUAACCAUCACUGCUGUAUACACUAAUCCUUAAAUACCUUUUGCUAGUGGGCCAAAACAGCAGGAAGGCUCAGGUCCAAGCAUUUAAAGAAGUUGUGGAAACAGCUUUUCUACCAGAGAAAGGAAAUUGUGAGCUAUUCCCCUAUGUGCAAGGACAGGAAGCUUAAAACACUGAAAAUACCCAGGGACUGCUGUAAACCUUUUUUCUGCCAUGUAGUUACUGCACCAUUCAUUAAGCUUCAUGCUAUGUAGAUGUUCUGCAACAGGGAAUUCUCAGUGGCUAAUAGAAGCACAGAGAUAUUCUCAGCUGAAAUUCCCAUACAGCCAUAAAGCUGCACAAAUGGAAGUUCUCCGAGCAACAUUUAGUGUCCCAAGGUUCCUGAUAAGAUUGCAAAACUGCCAACAGUGAAAAUAAAGUAACCAUCAGGCCUGCAAGAAUGAAUACAAAGGGAAAAGGGCUGCUUCAUGUGGGGAAGACAACAGUUGUGGAAGUUGGAAGGAAAAGGCAGUUAGCAGAGAGACUUUUUGGUAAGUUUGAAAAGACAAAGCAAGAGGAGGGAAAGAUCGUGGAGCAAGGAAGAUUUAGACUAGGACAUUCAGAAAUAAACUUUAGAGUCCUUGUAAAAGAAAAAGGUAUGAAGCAAGAAAAGUGCACAUUCUUCACCACACUCACAAGGGAAAGACUUCCAGAAGAUUUUUUAAGAAAUACCCAUCCCCAAUGACAUAGCCACAUUGCUCCAGCAGUUUUUGUGGACUGCCAUUUGUGUGCACAAUGACAUCAUUUGGUAAGUGGAUUUCUCCUGUUAUUACUGUUCCAUGAUCAGCUGUAUCCCUGCAGAACGGCCCCACUUUCCUUUACUUGCACCUGUGUACUUAAAUACUCUUCUAAAUGCUCAGCACGCUCAUAAAUUAACCUCUUCUUAAAGACUGGCAGCUGACUGCCUCAUAACUAUUGCCCUCUCACUACUGCACUUAAAGUCUGCUUCUGAUUGUCUGCAGUGUCCUAAGAAGUCUAACUUUUAAAGACAGAUUUAGAAACAUUUUUUUUGUUUGUUUCAAUUUAAUAAUUUCUACUGCUUGUGAAACUGGUAUAAAGCUCAUAGAAACUUCAUUAGUUUAUCUGCUAACAGUAUCUCGUUCAGAUUUUUGUAUCUGGACAUUACUUUUUAAUGCUCAUAAUUGAAGCACAUUGGACUUUACUCCUGCAAACUUCUUUGUCUUGCUUAACAGUGAAGAGUUUACAGUCUGUCUCUGGUCUUUCAUUUCUGUAUGUUACCCUGUAGUUAAAUAAGAGGGCCUUAAAGCACAAAAUUUAGCCCUCAUUUUAAACCUAGUGUCUGUAGAGAUGUAUUUAAUCCCUUCUGUCAAUUCCAUCAGCUCUGCCAUAAAAAAUUCAAAAUACAGAUUAGUGUAGCAUAUUUUUUUCCCUUUGCUGAACACUGAUGGCCAUAAUAUGUGAAAAAUGCUAGGACAGAGUUCUGUUAAAUGCACAUUUGGUUUAAAUUUAACCUCUAUAAAUCAGGAUACACUGGAACUACCUUUUUUGGUCUUGGAUCUUGUUUGUGCUAGUUUAAGUAGCUAAAUCAAGCCUGUGGCAUCUGACGUAUGGUGUUUGUCAGUCAUCAGAAAUGGCAUUUAUAUUUGCAACUAAUAAAGUUGGCAGAUUCUUGGGUAAGAGGCUUGGAUAGAGAGCUGCAAAAACAUAUGAAGGAAAGGGUCAUUAUUUCAACAAAUCUACAUUGAACUGCUUGUUACAAGUUUUUGUUGUCAGAAAAUAAAAGAGCCGGAACAGGGUGCUACUGCAUUGUGAUUACAUGCAAACCAUCUGUUGCUAAAGAUGUUAAUUUUACAGCACUUCAGAAACAAGUGAGCAAGCUCGAGACUUCCUUCUGCAUCUGACAAACACGGGCUGUUUUCGAGAACAACAGAGACAUAUUGUUCUUGCUUCCUGUAAGGUGAUGUAACUGCAGUGCUGAAUGGAUUAACAUGGACUCUGCAUUUGGUGGAAAAUGACAUUAUUUAGAAAAACAUUCAGACUGUAGCAAGAAACAAUAAGCUACUGUAUCUGGCAGAUUAGCAAAUAUUAACCUUUCCCUGUAAAUUAGUCUUUGGUUUGCUCGUCAUCUUCCCACCCCAUUUACCCAUUUCUUAUCAGCAGAAAUAAAUGCCUGGCAUAUCUCAUUGAAAAAGGAGACUGCUCAACACAAAAGCAAACAGAGCUACUGAAGGUACUGCAGUGACUAAUUUUUUCUAAUUACUCCAGAACGAAUCUUCUGAUUACAGAAGUAAUGGAAAACAAGGAUACAGGAGCAGACUUCACACCAAGAAGUUGAUUGGUCUUCAUGAAAUAAAUUUAAACAGGAUGGACCAAAUGAUAGGACAUAUAAACAUUACUAUAAACACGUAGAGUACUAUUUUUUCAUUUUCUUCUGUACCUAUUUAAUAAAAACACCUAAUUAAAAAAAAA